rnacentral:rRNA from 1 species
AGUGAACGCUGGCGGUAGGCCUAACACAUGCAAGUCGAACGGCAGCACAGUAUAAGCUUGCUCUUACGGGUGGCGAGUGGCGGACGGGUGAGGAAUACAUCGGAAUCUACUUUUUCGUGGGGGAUAACGUAGGGAAACUUACGCUAAUACCGCAUACGACCUACGGGUGAAAGCAGGGGAUCUUCGGACCUUGCGCGAUUGAAUGAGCCGAUGUCGGAUUAGCUAGUUGGCGGGGUAAAGGCCCACCAAGGCGACGAUCCGUAGCUGGUCUGCGAGGAUGAUCAGCCACACUGGAACGGAGACACGGUCCAGACUCCUACGGGAGGCAGCAGUGGGGAAUAUUGGACAAUGGGCGCAAGCCUGAUCCAGCCAUACCGCGUGGGUGAAGAAGGCUUUCGGGUUGUAAAGCCCUUUUGUUGGGAAAGAAAAGCAGCAGGUUAAUACCCCGCUGUUCUGACGGUACCCAAAGAAUAAGCACCGGCUAACUUCGUG